rnacentral:snRNA from 1 species
GGAUGCGAGGGAGGUCUGGCUGUGACAUCUGUCACCCCACUGAUGGCCAGGGUUGAUUUGGGUGACCAGGCUGGGCAGGCAGGUAUCAUCUUCUUCCCUCACUGCAUCCCUCCUGAAGCUUCAUGCUGGGUAGAAGAGGACCAUUCUUGGGCCAACGGUAUAGAGUAGCUGCUAGACCCUCCAAACAAGCUCUCAAGGACCACCAUGUGAAUCCGUUGCAUUUGGUUAUGAAAUCACAGCUAAUACAAUAUCUGAGAGUGGUGACUGUAAGGG